AGCCAAGCAGAGAUUAGAGUCGAUGAGGACUUAAGAGGCCUUUCAGCUGACGUGAUUGCGAGAGCCUGUUUUGGGAGCUCUUACUUGAAAGGCAACGAGAUUUUCUCGAAGCUUAGGACCCUCCAAACGCUUAUUACCAAGCAAAGCAUCCUGUUUGGGAUAACAAGUUUUGGGUUUUUCGCCAGCAAGAACCACAAAAUGAAGAAGAGCUUGGAAACAGAGAUAGACUCGUUAAUAUGGGAGACCGUGAAAGAAAGAGAAAAGCAAUGCUUAGACAAAAGAAAUACUGACAAGGAUCUAAUGCAGCAAUUACUCGAGGAAGCACUCAACAAUAGCAAUUCCAGCAAUAGCAACUUCUCACCCAAGCGCUUCAUAAUUGAUAAUUGCAAGAACAUAUAUUUUGCAGGCCAUGAAGCAACUUCUACUGCUGCAACCUGGUGCAUGAUGCUCCUUGCUUUAUAUCCAGACUGGCAAUCUCGUAUCCGAGAGGAGGUCACACAAUUCUGUAAUGAUGGCCUGGAUGCAAAUUCACUUUCCAACUUGAAGACGGUGACUAUGGUGAUUCAAGAGGCAUUGAGGCUAUACCCACCAGGAGCAUUUGUGUCGAGGGAGGCACUGGAACAAGUUCAAAUAGGAAAAAUUACAGUUCCGAAAGGAGUAUGCAUAUGGACCUUAAUUCCAACCUUGCACAGGGAUCCCAAUCUAUGGGGACCAGAUGCUAAUGAGUUUAGACCAGAGAGGUUCGCAGAUGGUGUCUCAAAAGCCUGCAAAUUUGCCCAAGCCUACAUCCCAUUUGGAGUUGGGACUCGGUUAUGCGUAGGCCGAAACUUUGCUAUGGUGGAGUUGAAGGUUGUUCUCUCCCUCAUUGUCUCCCAAUUUACCUUCUCUUUAUCUCCAAAUUAUCAACACUCUCCUGCUUUUAGAAUGAUCGUCGAGCCUGAGCAUGGCGUACAAAUUCUAAUUCGAAAGGUUUAGCAAUUAGACCUCCAAGCUUUAUACCUAUAAUUUAUAAUCUCUUGCUGUAAUAAGCACUAAUUAAUAUCUCUAUCUAGCCUAACUUGAUUCAAUGGCUAAAAACACGAAGGUGUAAGGUUCGAG
rnacentral:misc_RNA from 1 species